UACAGGAAACAUCGACCCUUCCAGUCACGACUUCCUACUCGGUCUGAUGGGUCACGUGACUUUGCCCACUCAGCUGGACUCUACAGAUCAUCCCUCUGACGUCAGCAUCGACCAAUCAGGAGUAGCCUCUCUGAGCUCCGACCAAUCACUACCCAGCGCUGGCUCGUCCCACUCUGCAGCCGACGCAGCUUCAUCACAGAGGGAAAUUCACAGAGUUCAGACUGACGGAGCCGAGUCACCGGACACUAACGG